rnacentral:rRNA from 1 species
GACGAACGCUGGCGGCGUGCUUAACACAUGCAAGUCGAACGGUAAGGCCCCUUCGGGGGUACACGAGUGGCGAACGGGUGAGUAACACGUGGGUGAUCUGCCCUGCACUUCGGGAUAAGCCUGGGAAACUGGGUCUAAUACCGGAUAGGACCACGCUCUGCAUGGAGUGUGGUGGAAAGCUUUUGCGGUGUGGGAUGGGCCCGCGGCCUAUCAGCUUGUUGGUUGGGUGAUGGCCUACCAAGGCGACGACGGGUAGCCGGCCUGAGAGGGUGUCCGGCCACACUGCGACUGAGAGACGGCCCAGACUUGAACGGGAGGCAGCGGUGGGAAACAUUGCACAAUGGGCGCAAGCCUGAUGCAGCGACGCCGCGUGGGGGAUGACGGCUUUCGGGUUGAAAACCUCUUUCAGUACAGACGAAGCGGAAGUGACGGUAGGUACAGAAGAAGCACCGGCCAACUACGUG